GGUGGGCUCAGUGGUAGAGUGCUUGCCUUGCAUGCAUGAGGCCCUGGGUUCGAUUCCUCAGCACCA
rnacentral:tRNA from 1 species